GACGAACGCUGGCGGCGUGCCUAAUACAUGCAAGUUGAGCGAUGAAGAUUGGUGCUUGCCCCAAUUUGAAGAGCAGCGAGCGGGUGAGUAACGCGUGGGGAAUCUGCCUUUGAGCGGGGGACAACAUUUGGAAACGAAUGCUAAUACCGCAUAACAACUUUAAACAUAAGUUUUAAGUUUGAAAGAUGCAAUUGCAUCACUCAAAGAUGAUCCCGCGUUGUAUUAGCUAGUUGGUGAGGUAAAGGCUCACCAAGGCGAUGAUACAUAGCCGACCUGAGAGGGUGAUCGGCCACAUUGGGACUGAGACACGGCCCAAACUCCUACGGGAGGCAGCAGUAGGGAAUCUUCGGCAAUGGACGAAAGUCUGGCCGAGCAACGCCGCGUGAGUGAAGAAGGUUUUCGGAUCGUAAAACUCUGUUGGUAGAGAAGAACGUUGGUGAGAGUGGAAAGCUCAUCAAGUGACGGUAACUACCCAGAAAGGGACGGCUAACUACGUG
rnacentral:rRNA from 1 species